rnacentral:tRNA from 1 species
CAGGAAAUAGUUUAGGCAGAAUUUUGGUUUUGGGGACCAAUGGCGGGAGUUUAACCCUCCUUUUCCUGA